AAAAAAAAAGAAAAAAAAAACUAUGACAUGUCAUGAUACAUAUAGGAAUGGGGGAUUAUGGGACAAAAAAUAAAUCCACUAGGUUUCCGGCUUGGUACAACACAAAGUCAUCAUUCUCUUUGGUUUGCAAAACCAAAAAACUAUUGCGAGGGUCUACAAGAAGAUCAAAAAAUACGAAACUUUAUUAAGAAUUAUAUAAAAAAAAAUAUCAGAAUAUCUUCCGGUGUUGAGGGAAUUGCACGGAUAGAGAUUCAAAAAAGAAUUGAUCUAAUUCAAGUUAUAAUCUAUAUAGGGUUCCCAAAAUUAUUACUAGAAAAUAGACCGCGAAGAAUUGAAGAAUUACAGAUGAAUGUACAAAAAGAACUUAAUUGUGUGAAUCGAAAAAUAAACAUUGCUAUUACACGAAUUACAAAUCCUUAUGGACACCCCAAUAUUCUUGCCGAAUUUAUAGCCGGACAAUUAAAAAAUAGAGUUUCUUUUCGAAAAGCAAUGAAAAAAGCUAUUGAAUUAACGGAACAGGCCGAUACAAAAGGAAUUCAAGUACAAAUUGCAGGGCGUCUUGACGGAAAAGAAAUUGCGCGCGCCGAAUGGAUCAGAGAAGGUAGAGUUCCUCUACAAACCAUUGGAGCUAAAAUUGAUUAUUGUUCCUAUACGGUUCGAACUAUCUACGGGGUAUUGGGAAUCAAAAUUUGGAUAUUUGUAGACGAAAAAAAAUAAGAGUUUACGGGUCUUUAGAGCCCCCCCAUUAAUGGAAAUAAACCAAACAAAGAACGAGCUCUUUUUAUCUUCAAUCAAAACAAAAAUGAGAAAUUCCGCAAUUCUAUAGGGUUGAAUAAAAAUUCGAUUGAUUUUUUUUUUUUUAUAUAAUUGCUAUGCUUAGUGUGCGACUCGUUGGUUUUUUUUAGGGCUAGGAUUCCAAAAAAUGGACCGUCCUGUAGUAUGAACUAAUAACUAUAGCACUAAUAACCAACUCAUUGCUUCGUAUUAUCUGAAUCCAAAGAACCAGUCAAGAUAUAAUAUAGUGGUCAUAUCGUUGUAGCAACUGAAAUUUGCAUAACAUAAAAACCCAAUCUGAUUGUAGGUUGUGAAGUUCGAAGUUGUGAAAGAAAAUCGAAAAGCAUGCGGAUAAAUGGAAGGAUGAGAGAAAGAGAGAAAGAAAAUAUCAAUGAUAUAAGAUUCCAAUAUGUAAGGUCUGUAAGUCAUCUCAUAAAAAACAGUGUAAUAUAGCAUCAAUAAUGAUUCAUCCCUAACUAGAUGAAUCCGCUCAUAGAACAAAAAAAAUCAAGAGCCCCGAGCCAAUAAAAACUGAGAAAAUUGACUUAAGAAAAAAUUUCAUUAAGGGCUCCGUUGGAGAAUUCAGACCUAACCAUUAAUCGAGAAGCAAUGGGAACGACGGAACCCGUGAAUAAAGAAAAAGAAGAUUCUAUUGGAAAUGAAUCUUAAUGAUUUAUUGGGUGGGAUGGCGAAACGAACCCAGGAACUAAACUAUUCUUUUAUUCGUAGAGGUCAUGAACUAACCCUACAACUGAAAUAGAUAUUGAAAGAGUAAAUAUUCGCCCGCGAAAGGUUUAUUUUUUGAUUUUAUUGGAUUGAUUCAUUUUGCUCGAUCCGAUAUGGUAAAGGGCAAAACAAAAUAAAGAUUUGUUAUAACGAUAAAAAAAAAAAAAAGACAUUGAGAUUAUCUAUAAAUAGAACAUAAAUGUUUCAAUUCUAUAUCUAAACAUGAUAUACAAAUUUAGAAUAGAUUAAUUAGAUGAACUUUCAAAAAAUCCUAUGCUUCAGUAUAUUAUUCAUUAAAUUCCCCUAUAUCUUGAUAAAAUCGUUUUUAGUCCUUUCAUUCGCGAGGAGCUGGAUGAGAAGAAACUCUCAUGUCCAGUUCUGUAGUAGAGAUGGCAUUGAGAAAGAACCAUCAAUUAUAACCCCAAAAGAACAAGAUUCCGUAAACAACAUAGAGGAAGAAUGAAAGGGAUAUCUUAUCGAGGUAAUCAUAUUUGUUUCGGCAGAUAUGCUCUUCAAGCACUUGAACCCGCUUGGAUCACAUCUAGACAAAUCGAAGCGGGGCGCCGCGCAAUGACACGAAAUGUACGGCGCGGUGGAAAAAUAUGGGUACGUAUCUUUCCAGACAAACCCGUUACACUAAGACCCACGGAAACCCGUAUGGGGUCCGGUAAAGGAUCCCCGAAUAUUGGGUAGCCGUCGUUAAACCGGGUAGAAUACUUUAUGAAAUGAGUGGAGUAGCUGAAAAUAUAGCUCGAAAGGCUAUUUCAAUAGCGGCGUCCAAAAUGCCUAUAAGAACUCAAUUCAUUAUUUCGGGAUAGGAAUGUCGAAACAAAGGAAAUAAAUCUUGGGUAUAAAAAAUGCGGGUCUUCCCUUUUUUUUUUUACUUCGUCCUUUCAGUGCUUUACUUUAAAUUAAACAUUAAAAAAACGGACUCAAAAAACGAUAUGAUUCAACCUCAAACCCAUUUGAAUGUAGCAGACAAUAGCGGUGCCCGAGAAUUGAUGUGUAUUCGAAUCAUAGGAGCCAGUAAUCGUAGAUAUGCUCAUAUUGGUGACGUUAUUGUUGCUGUGAUCAAGGAAGCAGUACCCAAUACGCCUCUAGAAAGAUCAGAAGUGAUCAGAGCUGUAAUUGUACGUACUUGUAAAGAACUCAGACGUGAUAACGGUAUGAUAAUACGGUACGAUGACAAUGCUGCAGUUGUCAUUGAUCACGAAGGAAAUCCAAAGGGAACUCGAGUUUUUGGUGCGAUCGCCCGGGAAUUGAGACAGUUGAAUUUUACUAAAAUAGUUUCAUUAGCACCUGAAGUAUUAUAAGAGGGGACCGCGAUAUAGUGAUAGUAUGAAAAUAAAAUAGAUAAAUCAAAAUUUAGUAGAGUAUGUCUCACGCAUAUACUUUUAAUAAUUUUCAUAAAAAAAAGAACAUGUUGAUUAUAUCAAAAUUUGGAAGCAACAAAAUUUUCAGUUUAUCAUGGGCAAGGACACUAUUGCUGACAUAAUAACUUCUAUACGAAAUGCUGACAUGAAUAGAAAGGGAACGGUUCGAAUAGCAUCUACUAACAUCACCGAAAACGUUGUUAAAAUCCUUUUGCGAGAGGGUUUUAUCGAAAACGCAAGGAAACUCGUGGAAAACAAAAACAAAAAAGAGUUUUUGGUUUUAACCCUACGACAUCGAAGGAAUAGGAAAGGGCCGUAUAGACCCAUUUUAAAUUUAAAACGAAUCAGUCGACCCGGUCUACGAAUCUAUUUUAACUAUCGACGAAUUCCUAGAAUUUUAGAUGGGAUGGGGAUUGUAAUUCUCUCUACUUCUCGGGUAUAAUGACAGACCGAGCGGCUCGACUGGAAAGAAUCGGUGGAGAAAUUUUGUGUUAUAUAUGGUAAUUAUUCUGCUAUCCGAAUUGUAUUUGGAGCUUACUUUUAUGUUGUGAGAAAAAAAAAGGGAGGAUUCCUCGAGGUUUAAUUACCGAAUAACUUACCAAAGGUAUGCUCCGGGUUCUUUUAGAUAGUUUAGAGAGCGAAGUAAGAUUCUAGAUUAUGUUUCAGGAGGGAUGCGACCCGUUUUUCUACAUCUACUCCCGGUGGCUAGAGGCAAAAUUGAAGGAAGUCGUUAUGAUUCAGAUUCAACUGGAGGAUAUAAUAAUAAUAUAUAGACUACACAAAAGGAUUUGAGUGAUUAGGUGAUUUUUCAACAUUCCUUUCAGGGGGAUACAAAUCGCGGUUCAAAAAUUUCAAGAAACUUAUUUUCUUCCAACUUCCAAUAAGGAGAUUCGAAAUUCAUUUAAGGAAUAACAAUUAUGAAAAUAAGGGCUUCAGUUCGUAAAAUUUGUGAAAAAUGUCGACUGAUCCGCAGGAGGGGACGGAUUAUAGUAAUUUGUUCCAACCCGAGACAUAAACAAAGACAAGGAUAAUCUUUCGAAAAGUUUAGAAAGUAACCGAUGAACAAAUCAACAUAAAAGAUCGGUUUUGACAUGAAAUGGAUAUAUCCAUAUAUCUCUGACUUAUAUUUAUGAAAUGAUCAAAUAUGGCAAAAUCUCCACCACGAAGUGGUUCACGUAGGCCGGGACGGAUCGGUUCACGUAAAAGUGGACGUCGAAUACCAAAGGGCGUUAUUCAUGUUCAAGCAAGUUUCAACAACACCAUUGUGACUGUUACAGAUGUCCGGGGUCGGGUAAUUUCUUGGUCCUCGGCCGGUACUUGUGGAUUCAGGGGUACAAGAAGAGGUACGCCUUUUGCUGCUCAAACCGCAGCAGGAAAUGCUAUUCGAGCAGUAGCGGAUCAAGGUAUGCAACGAGCAGAAGUCAUGAUAAAGGGUCCUGGUCUCGGAAGAGAUGCGGCAUUACGAGCUAUUCGUAGAAGCGGUAUCCUUUUAAAUUUCGUACGGGAUGUAACCCCUAUGCCACACAAUGGUUGCAGACCCCCUAAAAAAAGACGGGUGUAGAAAUAAACAUUGAAGAGAUUUCAAGAGAAAUAAAUGACUCAAUGAUCUGACAAAUAAUAUUACUAUGGUUCGAGAGAAAGUAAAAGUAUCUACUCGGACACUACAGUGGAAGUGUGUUGAAUCAAGAGCAGACAGUAAGCGUCUUUAUUAUGGGCGCUUUAUUUUGUCUCCACUUAUGAAAGGUCAAGCCGACACAAUAGGCAUUGCGAUGCGAAGAGUUUUGCUUGGAGAAAUAGAAGGAACAUGUAUUACACGCGCAAAAUCUGAAAAAAUUCCACACGAAUAUUCUACCAUAGUGGGUAUUCAAGAAUCGGUACAUGAAAUUUUAAUGAAUUUGAAAGAUAUUGUAUUGAGAAGUAAUCUUUAUGGAACUUGUGACGCGCUUAUUUGUGUCAAAGGCCCGGGAUAUGUAACUGCUCAAGACAUCCUCUUGCCGCCUUCUGUGGAAAUCGUUGAUAAUACGCAGCACAUAGCUAGCCUAACAGAACCAAUUGAUUUGUCUAUUGGAUUACAAAUCGAGAGGAGUCGAGGAUAUAAUAUAAAAACGCCAAAUACCUUUCAAGACGGAAAUUGUUAUCCUAUCGAUGCUGUAUUCAUGCCUGUUCGAAAUGCGAAUCAUAGUAUUCAGUCUUAUGGGAAUGGCAAUGAAAAACAAGAGAUCCUUUUUCUAGAAAUAUGGACAAACGGAAGUUUAACUCCUAAAGAAGCACUUCAUGAAGCCUCCCGGAGUUUGAUUGAUUUAUUUAUUCCCUUUCUCCAGGCAGAAGACGAAAACUUACCUUUAGAGAACAAUCAAUACAAGGUUACUUUACCCUUUUUUACUUUUCAUGAUAGAUUGGCUAAACUAACGAAAAAGAAAAAAGAAAUCGCAUUGAAAUCGAUUUUUAUUGACCAAUCAGAAAUGUCUCCCAGGAUCUAUAAUUGUCUCAAAAAGUCCAAUAUACAUACAUUAUUCGACCUUUUGAAUACGCGUCAAGAAGACCUUAUGAAAAUUGAACACUUUCGCAUAGAGGAUGUAAAGCAGAUAAUGAGUAUUCUAGAAAAGAAAUAGAAAAGCAUUUCACAAUUGAUUUACCGAAAAAAAAAAAAACGAGAAAAUUGAAAUGGCUUUGCACCUUUAGACCCGUCUAUAUAUUCAGACCGGAAUUAAAUUGAAUAGAAGUAUCUAGGGAGAAUUCACUUUUACUUUGAAGUGACUACUCCCUAGAUACACACGUCAUGAUAUUUUACAAUUGAAUCAAUUUAAAAAAGACCUAAAGUUAGGGAUUUUUCAAUAGGUAAUGUUGCUCCAAUACCCAAGCACAAGGCCACUGCGGUCCCAAUCAAAAAGACGGUUGUCGCUACGGGACGGCGAAAUGGAUUUUGGAAUUUAUUAACAUUUUCCAAAAAAGGUACUGUUAAUAAUCCCGUAGGUACUGAAACCAUUAAAAGAACACCCAACAGCUUAUUGGGUACUGUACGAAGUAUUUGAAAUACGGGAAAGAAAUACCAUUCGGGUAAGAUUUCCAAAGGAGUUGCAAAUGGAUCCGCGGGUUCACCAAUCAUUGAUGGUUCUAGAACCGCUAAGCCUACGGUACAUGCAAUAGUACCUAGAAUUACUACUGGAAAAAUAUAUAAAAGAUCGUUGGGCCAUGCGGGUUCUCCAUAAUAAUUAUGACCCAUACCCUUAGCCAACUUAGCCCUUAAUACAGGAUCAUUCAAGUCAGGUUUUUUUGUUAUUGGGAUAGGCGAAUUCUUAUAGAUCCAUCCCCCAAAGAACCGGACAUGAUAAUUUUUCAUCAUCCGGCUCGAGCAAGAAUCAACCAAACUAAAAGGAUACAUAUAAAAAAAGAAAUAGAUAAAAAAAGAAAUAUAGAUUUUCGAAAAUCUAUAUUUUACGCAUAUCGGGAUGAUUCUAUAUGUAAAAUUACCGGAUUCCGUUUUACGAAGUUUCAACUAUCAAUUGCAAGGAAUUCGGUUCUUACAGGUGUAUGCUCCAUACCCAAGUAGGCUUACAAAAUUGAUCAUGAUCAAGAGCUUUCUGGGUCGUCUCAGCCCUUGUGAUUCACCCUUAUCCAAAAACAAAAAAAAAAAAGAUCGAGCUGAGAUUUUUCUUUUUCGCGUACAAAGGAUUUACUUGUUACUAAUAUAGUCUAGCCGCUGCUCUUCUUUAGACCCCUUGUUUCACUCCGAUAGUAUCAUAAAUCGGGAUCGGUGCAGAAGAAAUGAAUGCAUUUCCAUACUAUUAAGUAAGUAAUCUAGAAUCUAGCGAAAACAUAAUCUAGAUUAUGCCACAUCGCUUAUUCUACUGGAUCUUACGGAGCCUGCUCAUGCGCGGCAUGCUUGGGGCUGAUCAUAGAAAAGAUUCUUUUCAAUCGAACCAACCUAUCCUCUCUAUGGGGUGCCGGUUGGAACAAAGACACAUUUGGUCGCGAAUUCCAAUGUAGCAGAUUAAAGACAUAUUUCUGCACGGCCCAAUCAAUAGUUCAAGUCACACACUCCCAUAAUCCAUUUUCUCUUCGGAGAAUUCCCGUCAACUAUUCAUUUCAUUCAUGUCAAAUAAAAAGUCCAAUAUUAUGGAGUUGAGGGGAAAUUUCCAACUCCAUGUCUUAUUCUUUGUCAAUAAUCCAUAUUUGUAGCAAUGAAAUAUUAUUGUUCCUCCCCAAGCAAUAAGAUAAAGGGUUGAUUACAAAUCGCUAUAAUCUAGAUUUUGUAUAAUUUUAUAAAGGGCCAGAAAUACCUUGUUUACGUAUCAUUAGGAAAUGCAUUAACAUAAAUACGGCAGUAAGAAGAGGUAAUACAAAAGUGUGUAAACUAUAAAACCGAGUCAAAGUGGACUGUCCCACACUAGCACUUCCGCGUAAUAACUCUACCAAAGGCGAUCCUAUUACCGGAAUUGCUUCGGGCACGCCUGUUACAAUUUUUACUGCCCAAUAUCCAAUUUGGUCCCAAGGUAAAGAAUAACCUGUUACACCAAAAGAUGCGGUCAAUACAGCCAGAACCACACCUGUAACCCAAGUCAAUUCGCGAGGUUUUUUAAAACCCCGGUGAGAUACACGCGAAAUACGUGCAGGAUUGUCAUUAGGACCAUCAUACUUGCCGACCAUCGAUGAACCGAUCGAAUUAACCACCCGAAGUUAACUUCCGUCAUUAUGUAUUGAACAGAGGCAAAAGCCUCAGUAACGGUCGGGCGGUAGUAAAAAGUCAUAGCAAACCCUGUAGCUACUUGUACUAAAAAACAAGUGAGCGUAAUUCCUCCCAGACAAUAAAAUAUGUUGACAUGAGGAGGAACGUAUUUACUAGUUAUAUCAUCUGCAAUCGCCUGAAUCUCGAGACGUUCUUCGAACCAAUCGUAGACUUUAUUGAGAUAGGUAAACCAAGAGAACUCCCCUCUGAGAACCGUAUAUGAGAAUUUCAUCUCGUACGGCUCAAACAAAACCACCCCAAUACUGGUAUGGAAUAGAAAAUUGGAAACUUCUUAAUUUUUUGAUUCAAUCUUAUCUAAAAAUACGAAAGAAUAAAAAUAAGAAAGCUUUUCUUUGUGGUUAUAAUUAGAAUGCCAAAAAAUCAAGUCGACGCGCUUAUCUUUAUGUUGAUCGUUACAGGCCUCUUGAAUCUUCUAUUUACCUAUUUCAUUUUCUUUGAUUUGUUAUUUUGAGUUGUAUGUAAUGCAGCUUGACUUUUGUUUUCUUUAUUAUUGCUAGGAAUUUUCUUGUUAAGACCCUAUGAAUCAAUUGAAACCUCAGAUUCAUACUAGAACCACGAUGAUUCAAUAAAACCUUCAAACUAAGUCCAAAGAUUCCAUGAGUAAGAAUCCUUGGAUCAUCAUUUAUUCAAAUUUGUGCUUUGAGUAAAAUAAAAGCAGAAAUGGGGAAUUUGAAAGAAGAAAAAUCUUGCAAUUGCAAAUUUUGUCUUUGGAAAAAUUUUUUGAAUCCGGCCAAGGGGUCUGAAUAUUAAGUAUGAAUCAUAGUUCGAAUACUUCGUGAUCUAUUUCAUAUAUUCCGUGCUCCAGAUACUCGAAUGAAUAUCCGACGGAGUAAAGCCAUCUCGAUCAAGACGACAGAUCUAUGCUCUGUACUAUCAAUAGGAUCAAUUCGAACAAGUCGCACACUCAUAUUCCGGAAAUACAGAAAUAAAAAAUUCGCGGUCGAACUACCAAUCAACGAAAAUCAAAAUCCGAUACCUAAAUGCUUAUUUAAAAGGUAGUAUUUUGUGAUUCUUGUAAAUUUCAUUCUAAUUCAGUGAAAUUCCGUCCAGUAAAACGGACGAAUUAUAAAUCUCCAAAAUAAUAGAUAGGAAUACCGCAAAUAAAGCCAUUGCGACUCCCAUCAAAGGAGUAGUUCCCCAUCCAGGAGCUACUUUACCAUAUUCCGAAUUCAAGGGUUUCAACAACCCCCUGCAGAAGUUCUUUUUGGACGAGCUCUAGAACUACCCUCAACUGUUUGUGUAGCCAUAAAUCCUAUUUUGUAUUGAUUGAGAUCUGUUGACUUUGUAUACCAUUCCGUUGUAAAUAAACGAUCUUAUCAUGGAUCCAGUGUGGUCUUGAAAUUCUAUAAUAAUGGAAACAGCAACCCUAGUCGCCAUCUCUAUAUCUGGGUUACUUGUAAGUUUUACUGGGUACGCCUUAUAUACUGCUUUUGGGCAACCCUCUCAACAACUAAGAGAUCCAUUCGAGGAACACGGGGACUAGUUGAAGUAGAAGUAAUGGGCCUCCCAAUAUUGGGAGGCCCAUUACUUCAAUUGAGAUAAAAAAAAAUCAUUUUGUUUUUUUAGUUGGAACUUUAGGCGGUUCUCGAAAAAAGAUAGCGAAAAAAAUGAUCCCUAGAGUCGAGACUAAGAGGAAUGUAUAAACCAAUGCUUCCAUAAAUUCGAUCGUGGUUUCCAAUUAUAGCUUCCAUACCUGUUUAUUUGGGAUCAUCCCCCGGAUUAAAGAAAAAAAGAAUCAAAAAGGGCGGCGAUUUAAAUCCAUAUUUCUCCAGUACCUUAUACCUUAUUUUAAAUAAAAAGCACAAAUCGAAAAUAGAAGCAGAAGUGAGAAACUAAAAUAGUAGAGCAAUGCUGCAUCAGACUACUUGUCUUCUUGUAGUUGGAUCUCCAAGUUUUUGGAAUACUCCAAAUUCCACUUGAGCGUCCAAAUCCGGGUCAAUACCAGCAAAAACAUCUCUGAACAAGGUUCUAGCACCAUGCCAAAUGUGUCCGAAGAAGAAAAGCAGAGCAAAUGAAGCGUGUCCAAACGUAAACCAGCCCCUUGGGCUGCUACGAAAAACACCAUCGGAUUUCAAAGUAGCACGAUCUAAUUCAAAAAUUUCACCCAAUUGAGCACGUCUAGCAUAUUUUUUCACAGUAGCAGGAUCACUAUAACUCACGCCAUUCAGCUCGCCACCAUAGAACUCAACGGUUACACCUACUUGUUCGACACUAUACUUCGAUUCUGCCCUUCGAAAAGGAACGUCGGCUCUAACAAUUCCAUCUCCGUCUACCAAAACAACUGGAAAUGUUUCAAAAAAAGUAGGCAUACGACGUACAAAAAGUUCACGCCCUUCUUUAUCUCUAAAUAUAGGGUGUCCUAACCACCCGACAGCUAUUCCAUCCCCGUUAUCCAUUGAACCCGCUCUGAAUAAUCCCCUUUCGCAGGAUUAUUUCCGAUGUAAUCAUAAAAAGCUAAUUUUUCAGGAAUUUUAGACCAAGCUUCUGAUAAACUUUGAUUUUCGGCUAGUCCAGCACUGACUCUUCGAUAUAUUUCUUGCUGAAAGUAUCCCUGAUCCCAUUGAUAACGGGUGGGACCAAAUAAUUCGAUGGGGGUAGUUGCUGACCCAUACCACAUAGUUCCAGCAACAACAAACGCUGCAAAAAAGACAGCAGCGAUGCUGCUGGAAAGAACGGUUUCAAUAUUGCCCAUACGUAAUCCUUUGUAUAAGCGUUGUGGCGGGCGGACACUGAGAUGGAAUAAGCCUGCUAAUAUGCCCAAUGUCCCUGCCGCAAUAUGAUGAGAGGCUAUUCCUCCUGGAACAAAAGGAUCAAAACCUUCCACACCCCAUGCUGGAUUUACAGAUUGUACCUUUCCAGUUAGUCCAUACGGAUCAGACACCCAUAUUCCAGGACCAUACAAUCCUGUUACAUGAAAUGUCCCAAAACCAAAGCAAGCCACUCCUGAGAGAAAUAAAUGAAUUCCAAAGAUUUUAGGCAAAUCCAAAGAACGUUUUCCUGUACGGUCAUCAACAAAUAUUGCUAGAUCCCAAUACACCCAAUGCCAGAUAGCUGCCAAGAAGCACAAUCCGGAAAACACAAUAUGUGCCCCGCUACACCUUCGUAACUCCAAAUACCCGGAUUCGUUACUGUCCCCCUGUAAUACUCCAACCACCCCAUGAAUCGGUUAUUCCUAAACGAGUCAUGAAGGGUAUAACGAACAUGCCUUGUCUCCACAUUGGAUCAAGAACUGGAUCGGAGGGAUCAAAAACAGCUAAUUCAUAUAGAGCCAUUGAACCGGCCCAACCCGCAACCAGGGCUGUAUGCAUUAUAUGGACAGCAAUCAAACGACCGGGAUCAUUCAAUACGACGGUAUGAACACGAUACCAAGGCAAACCCAUGGGACUACCCCUUUAUUAAUAAAAAAUAGACACUAUGUAACUUUAUUGCAUUGAAAAAAACUAUGCUAUGUACCCCUUUUUUCAGGGGAUUAUCUCGAAAAAGGGAUUAAUAUUAAUAUUUGUUCUAUUCUUUUAGUAAUAAUGGAAGAGUUCGGUUCGUAGGAAAAAAGAGAAGCAGAUCUAUUCUAUACUCGAUAAGUACCAAUACGCAAUGGGGGUUGAUUCCCUUUUCUAUGAGCGAAUGUAUCCAUAUUUGGUCAUCAUUCAAAAGACUUAUUCGUAAUAAUUUUCCUUUAUUUUAUGAACUUCGUCAAUCUAUGUAUAAACUAAGAUAACGGCCACUAGUAUUAAGACAAGAAGCCCAUUAUUACGCUUCCACAUCAAAGUGAACUAGAGUACUUAAUUCUUUUUUCUUUCAUUUUAUGCCUAUUGGUGUUCCAAAAGUACCUUAUCGAAGUCCCGGGGACAAGCAUCCAUCUUGGGUUGACAUAUAGUGCGACUUGUCAGAUCUAUUGGGUCAUAUGGGAUUUCCCCGUUCUCUCCCCCGAUCGAGAUAUCCUCUGUUUCGCCCAAAAAAUUGAUUGAAUUAUCAAAAAUUUGUAGCGUGAAAUGCAAUGAAGUGCAAUUAGAUCUAUUUCGUGAGGAAGCAUCCAGAUUAAUAUUAGCAAUAAAUCAAUUUUAUGGUCGUCUUGGCUGGACCAAUAAAAUGAGGUAUCCAGGCUCCGUUUAGAAAAACCCAAUUGGUAAUAUAUCUAUGAUUAUUACUUAUAUCAUAAACGAUUCCUUUAUUCGAAAAGCGAUCUCAAACGUUAAUCAACGGAAUGCUAAAUAUGAUGAAUAUGUCAAAUAUUUGGCGGAAGACAUGAAAGAAAUGAAUUAAAAAAGGGGUAAGUCAUAGCAAAAAAGAGACGUGGUAUUGGGGUCAUUUGUCUUAUAUGUGCAAAUCAAAAUCGGGCGAAUCCUUACUCGGAGUAGAGCCUAAACCUAAAAAAAUGGAAGAAGCCCAUUCAAUUCAGGAACAAGAAAAUGGCAUCGUGAUUUUUGGAUCGGAUCUCGAUGAAAAAAUACAUCAAUGAAAAGUUAGUUCGAUAAGUCGAUAAGUUUAGUGAAUUUCUUUUUUAUAUUAGAAUAUUAUAGGUCUAGGAAACCGGCUAAACUCAGCGUUCUUGAAAACCGGAAGAAAAGCCCCUCGAUAGAAGCGAGGAAAAAAGAAAGGAAAGGGGCUAGGAGCUACACAUUGAUUUGUUUUUCGCAAGUUUUGUUGAACCGUAUGCAUCAAAAGAUGCCUGUACGGCUCCGAAAGGAUACUGUUUUAUCCUAAUCAACCGACUUUAUCGAGAAAGAUUACUUUUUUUAGGUCAAAUGGUUGAGAGCGAUAUCUCGAAUCAACUUAUUGGUAUUAUGGUAUAUCUCAGUAUAGAGAACGAGACCAAGGAUUUGUAUUUAUUUAUCAACUCUCCUGGCGGAUGGGUAAUACCCGGGAUAGCAAUUUAUGAUACUAUGCAAUUUGUGCGACCCGAUGUACAGACAAUAUGCAUGGGAUUGGCCGCCUCCAUGGGGUCUUUUCUCCUGGCCGCCGGAGCAAGUACCAAACGUCUAGCAUUCCCUCACGCUUGGCGCCAAUGAGUUUUUUAUUUGAGAGAAAAAAGAAGACUAUGCCUUCGCCAUAUGAAUUCUUAAUAUUAAGUAAUAAUAGCAUGGCACUUCGAAUUCGAUAUGAAAAUUGUUAGUGUUUUUUUUUUUUUUCAAAAUAUUUGAUUAUGUAUCGAAGCAGUAGUAUGAGAUAAAGAAGGGGUAUUCCGAGUUUAUCUUACCUAUCGGAGGCCUAUUGCAGCGCCACACACCUUUUUCACGCCGAAAGGUUCUUAACAAUUAACAAUUAACAAGAUUUAUGGUAUGAAAGAGUACGAAAAUCAAAAAAGAAGAUUAUUUUUGAUUUAUUUCUUUUUUGAUUUUGAUUUGAAAAAAAAAAAAAAGAAACUUUGGGAUUGCUGAAUCACAAAAAAAAUAAAUAUAUAAAGCAACGGAGCCAUCAUAGUAUUUUUGAACUCCUCAAAAAAAAAGAAGGGUGGUAAUUGGAUCAUUUACCCAUCUGGGUAUAAUAGAACCCCCUUUUUAUCCUUGUUUGAUGAAGGGUAAAAAGCAAAUUCCAUUGGCGAGCCGUAUGCAAUGCGAAAAAGUGCCCGUACGGUUGUUCAAUUCUAUCUUUUUCUUUAUCUCUUCCCCUCGCCGAAUCGUGCGAGAUAGAGGAACCUUUUAUUAUGUUAUAAUAUAUCAUCAGGGUCAUGAUCCAUCAACCUAUUGGCGCUUUUUAUGGGGCACAAACGGGAGAAUUUAUCCUGGAUACGGAAGAACUACUGAGACUGCGCGAAAUCCUUACAAUGGUUUAUGUACAAAGAUCGGGCAAGCCCUUAUGGGUUGUAUCCGAAGACAUGGAAAGGGAUACUUUUAUGUCAGCAACAGAAGCCCAAGCUCAUGGACUUGUUGAUCUUGUAGCGGUUGGAUAAAACAUAGCAGUCACUUCUUAAGGGUUUAAUAUUCUAUUAAACAGAAGAAAUUCAUAAUCAUCCGGUUAGGAUCGAUCUAAACCAGCCCAUAAUGGAUAAUUCAGCAUGCCAACUAUUAAACAACUUAUUAGAAACCCAAGACAGCCAAUUAGAAAUGUUACCAAAUCCCCCGCUCUGCGGGGAUGUCCUCAGCGCCGAGGAACAUGUACAAGGGUGUAUGUGCGACUCGUUUCAAUCAUGGGCUGAGACAAACCAAAAGAAAGAAACCCUUUUUUAAGUAUCAAUGAUCAGUACCUGUGAAUCGGAUAGAAUAGAAGAAGAAGAACUCCAUUCACUAUCUAAAAAAAGAUCGAUCUAUCAUAUCUUUCUAUUGUGUAUGAAAUUUAUGGUUUCCACUGGCGCAAAUUCCACCACCUCAAUUUGCAAUUAAUUUAAGGUGAGAAAGAAUUCCCCAUUGGUAACAAAUAGUUAUCCAUUAAGCGGGGGAAAUACUAUAAAAAAGCAGAAAGAUUAUCUUUCUACUCUUGCAAGAACGGACUAACAAGGUCAGCUACCCCACCAAUCUUCAUAAUUAAAUACCGUUACUGUAUAAGGUCUAUCUCGUUAUGAAAGACCUAUUACUAGAAAAUUCAUGGGUAGAGCCGAAGAGUGGUAACUGUACAAGUUACCAAUAGAAUUGAUUAAAUGAAGGAAGUGGCUCCGGUGUAUAGAGAGGGCCUCACCGUUUAAGAAGUAAUCAUAGAGACGACGGAACCCACAAUUUCUUUAUCUAUUUACUACUUUCGUUUUUUUUUUACUAUUUUCUUUCCAAUGCCUCGACAAAAGGUAAAAGCGUGGUCGGGAAGGUUAGAGUAGCAAAAGCCAUUGGAAUUUUGAUUUUAUAAAUUGGAAGAGUCCGUUUUGUUAUUAAUAGACUAGGAAAGGGGAAAAGAAUAACUGAAAGAAAGGAAAUCAAUUAGUUAUUCAUCAAAGUUUCAUUUAUUCAAUGACCAGAAUUAGACGAGGAUAUAUAGCUCGGAGACGUAGAACAAAAAUGCGUUUAUUUGUAUCAAGCUUUCGCGGGGCUCAUUCACGACUUAGCCGAACAAUUACUCAACAGAAAAUAAGAGCUUUGGUUUCGGCUCAUCGCGAUAGAGAUAGGAAAAAAAGAGAUUUUCGUCGUUUGUGGAUCACCCGAAUAAAUGCAGUAAUUCGCGGAAAUCUGGUAUCCUAUAGUUAUAGUAGAUUAAUAUACAAUCUGUAUAAGGCGCAGUUGGUUCUUAAUCGUAAGAUACUUGCACAAAUAGCUAUAUCAAAUAGGAAUUGUCUUUAUAUGAUUUCCAAUGAGAUUAUAAAAUAAGGAAAUUGGAAGGAAUCCAUUAUAAUUUUUAAACGGAGUUCUCUGGAGAAUGAACUCCAGUAAGAGGAAGGUAGAGUAGAAAUAAUAUGAUAAAGUCGUCAAAAUGAGCGAACACGCUCAAUAAAAAAAAAGAUUGAUUUUAUUCUUCUUUCCCAAUUCUUUUUUUUUUUUUUUCUUACGGCACGGCUGCUUCACAGAUUUUUUGAACAAAACAUCCAUCUGUGUUUGAGUUCAGAUUGGAAUUUUUAUUUAAUUGAAGAGUAAGCCUAUUUUUUUCUGGUUCUAAGACCGGGAGGUCUAGCGGUCAACCCACUUCUUUCAAAUUGUUUCUCAUUAUUAAGAAAAGGUAACGAAGAUAAAAUACGAGCUUGUUUUAUAGCAAUAGUAAUUAAUCGUUGUUCUUUUAAGGUCAAUCUAUUCACCCGUCUAGAUAAUAUUUUUCCUUGUUCACUAAGAAAUCGACUAAUUAAAGUCAUGUUUCUAUAAUCAAUUCGAUCCCCGAUUGGAUCGGGGGCAAACGCCUACGAAAAGAUCGCUUGGAUUUAAGAAAGAGUCGCUUGGUUUUAUCCAUAAUUUGUUUAUUCCUUAUCCCUAAAAUCCCAUUUCGAUGAAAUCAAAAAAUGAUUUAUAGAAUCCAUUAUAGGAUUUGGUUUGUCUAGAUUUAUUUAUUUGUUUUUAUUAAAAUAUAUGAAAUAAUCUAGAUAUAUAUCUAGAUUAGUUUUUCAUGUCCCUUGGAAGGGUGACACAAAAGCACGCGGCUUGACUCUAUCUAUUUUUUUAUCUCCCCAUGAAGUGUAUGCUUGUAACAAUAGGGACAGAAUUUUCUCAAUUCCAAUCGACUGGGUGUAUUGUGUCGAUUCUUUUGAGUAAUAUAUCUGGAAAUACCCCUUGAUUCCUUAUUAACACCGUUUCGAACACAACUAGUACAUUCCAAAAUAACCCUUACUCGGACCUCUUUACCUUGGCCAUGAACCUCCUUGGGGUUUUUGAUUCACCCAACUUUUCUAUUUUCCGACCCGCAACGAAUAAGAACACGACAAAAAAAUAGAAUUGUAACACUCAAAAAAAACUAUGAAAAAAAUUUAUUGCAACAAUAAAAAUAAAAGAAAAAAAAAAAAAAAAAAAAAAAAAAAAAAAAAAAAAAAAAAAAAAAAAAAAAAAAAAAAAAAAAAAAAAAAAAAAAAAAAAAAAAAAAAAAAAAAAAAAAAAAAAAAAAAAAAAAAAAAAAAAAAAAAAAAAAAAAAAAAAAAAACAAAAAAAAAAACUUGCUACAUUUUUUUUUUUUUUUUUUUUUUUUUUUUUUUUUUUUUUUUUUUUUUUUUUUUUUUUUUUUUUUUUUUUGUUGCUCAAAAUAAAAAGUUGUAAUCAAAAACCCAAGGAGGUUCAUGGCCAAGGGUAAAGAGGUCCGAGUAAGGGUUAUUUUGGAAUGUACUAGUUGUGUUCGAAACGGUGUUAAUAAGGAAUCAAGGGGUAUUUCCAGAUAUAUUACUCAAAAGAAUCGACACAAUACACCCAGUCGAUUGGAAUUGAGAAAAUUCUGUCCCUAUUGUUACAAGCAUACACUUCAUGGGAGAUAAAAAAAUAGAUAGAGUCAAGCCGCGUGCUUUUGUGUCACCCUUCCAAGGACAUGAAAAACUAAUCUAGAUAUAUAUCUAGAUUAUUUCAUAUAUUUUAAUAAAAACAAAUAAAUAAAUCUAGACAAACCAAAUCCUAUAAUGGAUUCUAUAAAUCAUUUUUUGAUUUCAUCGAAAUGGGAUUUUAGGGAUAAGGAAUAAACAAAUUAUGGAUAAAACCAAGCGACUCUUUCUUAAAUCCAAGCGAUCUUUUCGUAGGCGUUUGCCCCGAUCCAAUCGGGGGAUCGAAUUGAUUAUAGAAACAUGACUUUAAUUAGUCGAUUUCUUAGUGAACAAGGAAAAAUAUUAUCUAGACGGGUGAAUAGAUUGACCUUAAAAGAACAACGAUUAAUUACUAUUGCUAUAAAACAAGCUCGUAUUUUAUCUUCGUUACCUUUUCUUAAUAAUGAGAAACAAUUUGAAAGAAGUGGGUUGACCGCUAGACCUCCCGGUCUUAGAACCAGAAAAAAAUAGGCUUACUCUUCAAUUAAAUAAAAAUUCCAAUCUGAACUCAAACACAGAUGGAUGUUUUGUUCAAAAAAUCUGUGAAGCAGCCGUGCCGUAAGAAAAAAAAAAAAAAAGAAUUGGGAAAGAAGAAUAAAAUCAAUCUUUUUUUUUAUUGAGCGUGUUCGCUCAUUUUGACGACUUUAUCAUAUUAUUUCUACUCUACCUUCCUCUUACUGGAGUUCAUUCUCCAGAGAACUCCGUUUAAAAAUUAUAAUGGAUUCCUUCCAAUUUCCUUAUUUUAUAAUCUCAUUGGAAAUCAUAUAAAGACAAUUCCUAUUUGAUAUAGCUAUUUGUGCAAGUAUCUUACGAUUAAGAACCAACUGCGCCUUAUACAGAUUGUAUAUUAAUCUACUAUAACUAUAGGAUACCAGAUUUCCGCGAAUUACUGCAUUUAUUCGGGUGAUCCACAAACGACGAAAAUCUCUUUUUUUCCUAUCUCUAUCGCGAUGAGCCGAAACCAAAGCUCUUAUUUUCUGUUGAGUAAUUGUUCGGCUAAGUCGUGAAUGAGCCCCGCGAAAGCUUGAUACAAAUAAACGCAUUUUUGUUCUACGUCUCCGAGCUAUAUAUCCUCGUCUAAUUCUGGUCAUUGAAUAAAUGAAACUUUGAUGAAUAACUAAUUGAUUUCCUUUCUUUCAGUUAUUCUUUUCCCCUUUCCUAGUCUAUUAAUAACAAAACGGACUCUUCCAAUUUAUAAAAUCAAAAUUCCAAUGGCUUUUGCUACUCUAACCUUCCCGACCACGCUUUUACCUUUUGUCGAGGCAUUGGAAAGAAAAUAGUAAAAAAAAAACGAAAGUAGUAAAUAGAUAAAGAAAUUGUGGGUUCCGUCGUCUCUAUGAUUACUUCUUAAACGGUGAGGCCCUCUCUAUACACCGGAGCCACUUCCUUCAUUUAAUCAAUUCUAUUGGUAACUUGUACAGUUACCACUCUUCGGCUCUACCCAUGAAUUUUCUAGUAAUAGGUCUUUCAUAACGAGAUAGACCUUAUACAGUAACGGUAUUUAAUUAUGAAGAUUGGUGGGGUAGCUGACCUUGUUAGUCCGUUCUUGCAAGAGUAGAAAGAUAAUCUUUCUGCUUUUUUAUAGUAUUUCCCCCGCUUAAUGGAUAACUAUUUGUUACCAAUGGGGAAUUCUUUCUCACCUUAAAUUAAUUGCAAAUUGAGGUGGUGGAAUUUGCGCCAGUGGAAACCAUAAAUUUCAUACACAAUAGAAAGAUAUGAUAGAUCGAUCUUUUUUUAGAUAGUGAAUGGAGUUCUUCUUCUUCUAUUCUAUCCGAUUCACAGGUACUGAUCAUUGAUACUUAAAAAAGGGUUUCUUUCUUUUGGUUUGUCUCAGCCCAUGAUUGAAACGAGUCGCACAUACACCCUUGUACAUGUUCCUCGGCGCUGAGGACAUCCCGCAGAGCGGGGGAUUUGGUAACAUUUCUAAUUGGCUGUCUUGGGUUUCUAAUAAGUUGUUUAAUAGUUGGCAUGCUGAAUUAUCCAUUAUGGGCUGGUUUAGAUCGAUCCUAACCGGAUGAUUAUGAAUUUCUUCUGUUUAAUAGAAUAUUAAACCCUUAAGAAGUGACUGCUAUGUUUUAUCCAACCGCUACAAGAUCAACAAGUCCAUGAGCUUGGGCUUCUGUUGCUGACAUAAAAGUAUCCCUUUCCAUGUCUUCGGAUACAACCCAUAAGGGCUUGCCCGAUCUUUGUACAUAAACCAUUGUAAGGAUUUCGCGCAGUCUCAGUAGUUCUUCCGUAUCCAGGAUAAAUUCUCCCGUUUGUGCCCCAUAAAAAGCGCCAAUAGGUUGAUGGAUCAUGACCCUGAUGAUAUAUUAUAACAUAAUAAAAGGUUCCUCUAUCUCGCACGAUUCGGCGAGGGGAAGAGAUAAAGAAAAAGAUAGAAUUGAACAACCGUACGGGCACUUUUUCGCAUUGCAUACGGCUCGCCAAUGGAAUUUGCUUUUUACCCUUCAUCAAACAAGGAUAAAAAGGGGGUUCUAUUAUACCCAGAUGGGUAAAUGAUCCAAUUACCACCCUUCUUUUUUUUUGAGGAGUUCAAAAAUACUAUGAUGGCUCCGUUGCUUUAUAUAUUUAUUUUUUUUGUGAUUCAGCAAUCCCAAAGUUUCUUUUUUUUUUUUCAAAUCAAAAUCAAAAAAGAAAUAAAUCAAAAAUAAUCUUCUUUUUUGAUUUUCGUACUCUUUCAUACCAUAAAUCUUGUUAAUUGUUAAUUGUUAAGAACCUUUCGGCGUGAAAAAGGUGUGUGGCGCUGCAAUAGGCCUCCGAUAGGUAAGAUAAACUCGGAAUACCCCUUCUUUAUCUCAUACUACUGCUUCGAUACAUAAUCAAAUAUUUUGAAAAAAAAAAAAAACACUAACAAUUUUCAUAUCGAAUUCGAAGUGCCAUGCUAUUAUUACUUAAUAUUAAGAAUUCAUAUGGCGAAGGCAUAGUCUUCUUUUUUCUCUCAAAUAAAAAACUCAUUGGCGCCAAGCGUGAGGGAAUGCUAGACGUUUGGUACUUGCUCCGGCGGCCAGGAGAAAAGACCCCAUGGAGGCGGCCAAUCCCAUGCAUAUUGUCUGUACAUCGGGUCGCACAAAUUGCAUAGUAUCAUAAAUUGCUAUCCCGGGUAUUACCCAUCCGCCAGGAGAGUUGAUAAAUAAAUACAAAUCCUUGGUCUCGUUCUCUAUACUGAGAUAUACCAUAAUACCAAUAAGUUGAUUCGAGAUAUCGCUCUCAACCAUUUGACCUAAAAAAAGUAAUCUUUCUCGAUAAAGUCGGUUGAUUAGGAUAAAACAGUAUCCUUUCGGAGCCGUACAGGCAUCUUUUGAUGCAUACGGUUCAACAAAACUUGCGAAAAACAAAUCAAUGUGUAGCUCCUAGCCCCUUUCCUUUCUUUUUUCCUCGCUUCUAUCGAGGGGCUUUUCUUCCGGUUUUCAAGAACGCUGAGUUUAGCCGGUUUCCUAGACCUAUAAUAUUCUAAUAUAAAAAAGAAAUUCACUAAACUUAUCGACUUAUCGAACUAACUUUUCAUUGAUGUAUUUUUUCAUCGAGAUCCGAUCCAAAAAUCACGAUGCCAUUUUCUUGUUCCUGAAUUGAAUGGGCUUCUUCCAUUUUUUUAGGUUUAGGCUCUACUCCGAGUAAGGAUUCGCCCGAUUUUGAUUUGCACAUAUAAGACAAAUGACCCCAAUACCACGUCUCUUUUUUGCUAUGACUUACCCCUUUUUUAAUUCAUUUCUUUCAUGUCUUCCGCCAAAUAUUUGACAUAUUCAUCAUAUUUAGCAUUCCGUUGAUUAACGUUUGAGAUCGCUUUUCGAAUAAAGGAAUCGUUUAUGAUAUAAGUAAUAAUCAUAGAUAUAUUACCAAUUGGGUUUUUCUAAACGGAGCCUGGAUACCUCAUUUUAUUGGUCCAGCCAAGACGACCAUAAAAUUGAUUUAUUGCUAAUAUUAAUCUGGAUGCUUCCUCACGAAAUAGAUCUAAUUGCACUUCAUUGCAUUUCACGCUACAAAUUUUUGAUAAUUCAAUCAAUUUUUUGGGCGAAACAGAGGAUAUCUCGAUCGGGGGAGAGAACGGGGAAAUCCCAUAUGACCCAAUAGAUCUGACAAGUCGCACUAUAUGUCAACCCAAGAUGGAUGCUUGUCCCCGGGACUUCGAUAAGGUACUUUUGGAACACCAAUAGGCAUAAAAUGAAAGAAAAAAGAAUUAAGUACUCUAGUUCACUUUGAUGUGGAAGCGUAAUAAUGGGCUUCUUGUCUUAAUACUAGUGGCCGUUAUCUUAGUUUAUACAUAGAUUGACGAAGUUCAUAAAAUAAAGGAAAAUUAUUACGAAUAAGUCUUUUGAAUGAUGACCAAAUAUGGAUACAUUCGCUCAUAGAAAAGGGAAUCAACCCCCAUUGCGUAUUGGUACUUAUCGAGUAUAGAAUAGAUCUGCUUCUCUUUUUUCCUACGAACCGAACUCUUCCAUUAUUACUAAAAGAAUAGAACAAAUAUUAAUAUUAAUCCCUUUUUCGAGAUAAUCCCCUGAAAAAAGGGGUACAUAGCAUAGUUUUUUUCAAUGCAAUAAAGUUACAUAGUGUCUAUUUUUUAUUAAUAAAGGGGUAGUCCCAUGGGUUUGCCUUGGUAUCGUGUUCAUACCGUCGUAUUGAAUGAUCCCGGUCGUUUGAUUGCUGUCCAUAUAAUGCAUACAGCCCUGGUUGCGGGUUGGGCCGGUUCAAUGGCUCUAUAUGAAUUAGCUGUUUUUGAUCCCUCCGAUCCAGUUCUUGAUCCAAUGUGGAGACAAGGCAUGUUCGUUAUACCCUUCAUGACUCGUUUAGGAAUAACCGAUUCAUGGGGUGGUUGGAGUAUUACAGGGGGGACAGUAACGAAUCCGGGUAUUUGGAGUUACGAAGGUGUAGCGGGGCACAUAUUGUGUUUUCCGGAUUGUGCUUCUUGGCAGCUAUCUGGCAUUGGGUGUAUUGGGAUCUAGCAAUAUUUGUUGAUGACCGUACAGGAAAACGUUCUUUGGAUUUGCCUAAAAUCUUUGGAAUUCAUUUAUUUCUCUCAGGAGUGGCUUGCUUUGGUUUUGGGACAUUUCAUGUAACAGGAUUGUAUGGUCCUGGAAUAUGGGUGUCUGAUCCGUAUGGACUAACUGGAAAGGUACAAUCUGUAAAUCCAGCAUGGGGUGUGGAAGGUUUUGAUCCUUUUGUUCCAGGAGGAAUAGCCUCUCAUCAUAUUGCGGCAGGGACAUUGGGCAUAUUAGCAGGCUUAUUCCAUCUCAGUGUCCGCCCGCCACAACGCUUAUACAAAGGAUUACGUAUGGGCAAUAUUGAAACCGUUCUUUCCAGCAGCAUCGCUGCUGUCUUUUUUGCAGCGUUUGUUGUUGCUGGAACUAUGUGGUAUGGGUCAGCAACUACCCCCAUCGAAUUAUUUGGUCCCACCCGUUAUCAAUGGGAUCAGGGAUACUUUCAGCAAGAAAUAUAUCGAAGAGUCAGUGCUGGACUAGCCGAAAAUCAAAGUUUAUCAGAAGCUUGGUCUAAAAUUCCUGAAAAAUUAGCUUUUUAUGAUUACAUCGGAAAUAAUCCUGCGAAAGGGGGAUUAUUCAGAGCGGGUUCAAUGGAUAACGGGGAUGGAAUAGCUGUCGGGUGGUUAGGACACCCUAUAUUUAGAGAUAAAGAAGGGCGUGAACUUUUUGUACGUCGUAUGCCUACUUUUUUUGAAACAUUUCCAGUUGUUUUGGUAGACGGAGAUGGAAUUGUUAGAGCCGACGUUCCUUUUCGAAGGGCAGAAUCGAAGUAUAGUGUCGAACAAGUAGGUGUAACCGUUGAGUUCUAUGGUGGCGAGCUGAAUGGCGUGAGUUAUAGUGAUCCUGCUACUGUGAAAAAAUAUGCUAGACGUGCUCAAUUGGGUGAAAUUUUUGAAUUAGAUCGUGCUACUUUGAAAUCCGAUGGUGUUUUUCGUAGCAGCCCAAGGGGCUGGUUUACGUUUGGACACGCUUCAUUUGCUCUGCUUUUCUUCUUCGGACACAUUUGGCAUGGUGCUAGAACCUUGUUCAGAGAUGUUUUUGCUGGUAUUGACCCGGAUUUGGACGCUCAAGUGGAAUUUGGAGUAUUCCAAAAACUUGGAGAUCCAACUACAAGAAGACAAGUAGUCUGAUGCAGCAUUGCUCUACUAUUUUAGUUUCUCACUUCUGCUUCUAUUUUCGAUUUGUGCUUUUUAUUUAAAAUAAGGUAUAAGGUACUGGAGAAAUAUGGAUUUAAAUCGCCGCCCUUUUUGAUUCUUUUUUUCUUUAAUCCGGGGGAUGAUCCCAAAUAAACAGGUAUGGAAGCUAUAAUUGGAAACCACGAUCGAAUUUAUGGAAGCAUUGGUUUAUACAUUCCUCUUAGUCUCGACUCUAGGGAUCAUUUUUUUCGCUAUCUUUUUUCGAGAACCGCCUAAAGUUCCAACUAAAAAAACAAAA
rnacentral:lncRNA from 1 species